CAGGCUAUGGGGCGGGCUAUGGGGCAGGCAAUGCAUUGGGCUAUGGGGCGGGCUGUGGGUCCUGCCAUGGGUCUCGCUAUGGGGCAGGCUAUGGGGCAGGCAAUGCAUUGGGCUAUGGGGCAGGCUAUGGGGUGGGCUAUGGGGCGGGCUAUGGGUCUCACUAUGGGUCUGGCCGUGGGUCUCGCUAUGGGGCAGGCUAUGGGUCCUGCCAUGGGUCUCACCAUGGAUCUCACUAUGGGGCAGGCUAUGGGGCAGGCUAUGGGGCGGGCUAUGGGGUUGGGCUGUGGGUCGCACUAUGGGUCAGGCAAUGCAUUGGGCUAUAGGGUGGGCUAUGGGGCGGGCUAUGGGUCCUGCUGUGGGUCUGGCCGUGGGUCUCACUAUGGGGUGGGCUAUGGGGCGGGCUAUGGGUCCCACCAUGGGUCUUGCUAUGGAUCUCACUAUGGGGCGGGCUAUGGGGCAGGCUAUGGGUCCUGCCAUGGGUCUCACUAUGGGGUGGGCUAUGGGUCAGGCAAUGCAUUGGGCUAUGGGGUGGGCUAUGGGUCCUGCCAUGGGUCCGGCCGUGGGUCUCACUAUGGGGUGGGCUAUGGGGCGGGCUAUGGGGCAGGCAACAUAUUGGGCUAUGGGUCAGGCAAUGUAUUGGGCUAUGGGGUGGGCUAUGGGGCAGGCUGUGGGUCAGGCAAUGUAUUGGGCUAUGGGGCGGGCUAUGGGGUGGGCUAUGGGUUACACUGUGGGUCAGGCAACAUAUUGGGCUAUGGGGUGGGCUAUGGGGCAGGCAACGCAUUGGGCUAUGGGGCAGGCUAUGGGGCGGGCUGUGGGUCCUGCCAUGGGUCCAGCUGUGGGUCUCACUAUGGGGUGGCCUAUGGGGUGGCCUAUGGGUCUCACUAUGGGUCUCAC
rnacentral:lncRNA from 1 species